rnacentral:rRNA from 1 species
AACGCUAGCUACAGGCUUAACACAUGCAAGUCGAGGGGCAUCAGGGUAGCAAUACCGCUGGCGACCGGCGCACGGGUGAGUAACACGUAUCCAACCUACCGUUAACUCGGGGAUAGCCUUUCGAAAGAAAGAUUAAUACCCGAUAGUAUAUUUUCUUCGCAUGUUGAAAAUAUUAAAGAAUUUCGGUUAUCGAUGGGGAUGCGUUCCAUUAGGCAGUUGGCGGGGUAACGGCCCACCAAACCUACGAUGGAUAGGGGUUCUGAGAGGAAGGUCCCCCACAUUGGAACUGAGACACGGUCCAAACUCCUACGGGAGGCAGCAGUGAGGAAUAUCGGUCAAUGGACGAAGGUCUGAACCAGCCAAGUAGCGUGAAGGAUGACUGCCCUAUGGGUUGUAAACUUCUUUUAUAUGGGAAUAAAGUUCUCCACGUGUGGAGUUUUGUAUGUACCAUUAUGAAUAAGCAUCGGCUAACUCCGUGCCAGCAGCCGCGGUAAUACGGAGGAUGCGAGCGUUAUCCGGAUUUAUUGGGUUUAAAGGGAGCGUAGGUGGACUGGUAAGUCAGUUGUGAAAGUUUGCGGCUCAACCGUAAAAUUGCAGUUGAUACUGUCAGUCUUGAGUACAGUAGAGGUGGGCGGAAUUCGUGGUGUAGCGGUGAAAUGCUUAGAUAUCACGAAGAACUCCGAUUG